CAGGGAGCUGGCUGACAGCUCAGAGGAGCAGUAAGUGUGUGGGAAAGAGCACAAUGGCUCCUGGAAAGACCGCCUUCUCAAAGCCCCCUGCCUGCCAGCACCUUCUUUCCUACUUCUCAAGGCCCCUGUAUGGCCUGCAGCCUGGACGCUACCCUGGGAAGCAAGGCAGAGAAGGGUCUUUCUGGUUUUUCUGAAUGUGCUUGGGCCCCUGUCUUACUCCCCAACCUGUGGGCACUGUGUUUCUUUUCAGACAGAGCUAAGUGGGAGCUGCAGACCACCACAGCAGGGUGCCAACCUCCUUUCCUCCGCCUGAAGGGACUCAUGCCAGAAGGGAUGAAGGAGGCACCAUAUGCUUGGCACAGCCUGCUUGGCUCACUUCGUUUUCAAUGAGCUGCUGUCUGGAGAACGUGGGUGUGGUCUCUCAGAGACUGUGCAGAAUGAGAUGCAUCUCUUGUCCUCAGCAGAGGGAAAGACACAAAGAAAGAAGAAAGGUGUAUCCUAUAACUGUGUCCCCACAGAGUCCCUGCAGUCCAGCCCAGCCUCUGCACCUGGUACACAUCUGCUUGGAACUACCACUCAUCAUCUUCCCCAGUCUGGGGUGUGGGUCGGAGAGCAAGUACCAGGCAACCUGCAGGUACCAGAGGAGCACAGUGUGGGAGAGAAUUGCAGACCUCCUCUCUCACAGCUUUCUCUAGAGCUGGGCAUCCCCUCUUGCCCUACCCCAC
rnacentral:lncRNA from 1 species